rnacentral:rRNA from 1 species
UUGAUCCUGGCUCAGGACGAACGCUGGCGGCGUGCCUAACACAUGCAAGUCGAGCGGGAUUUACCGGUUUAGUUUACUAAGUUGGUGAAUUCAGCGGCGGACGGGUGAGUAACGCGUGAGCAAUCUGCCUUGUACAGGGGGAUAACAGCCGGAAACGGCUGCUAAUACCGCAUAAGGCCACAGUACCGCAUGGUACAGGGGUCAAAGGAGAGAUCCGGUAUAAGAUGAGCUCGCGUUCCAUUAGCUGGUUGGUGAGGUAACGGCCCACCAAGGCAACGAUGGGUAGCCGGCCUGAGAGGGUGAACGGCCACAUUGGGACUGAGACACGGCCCAAACUCCUACGGGAGGCAGCAGUGGGGGAUAUUGCGCAAUGGGGGAAACCCUGACGCAGCAACGCCGCGUGAGUGAAGGAGGCCUUCGGGUCGUAAAACUCUGUGACAGGGGAAGAGAGUGACGGUACCCUGAGGAGGAAGCCCCGGCUAACUACGUGCCAGCAGCCGCGGUAACACGUAGGGGGCAAGCGUUGUCCGGAAUUACUGGGCGUAAAGGGUGCGUAGGCGGCCGAGCAAGUCCGAUGUGAAAGACCACGGCUAAACUGUGGGGGUGCAUAGGAAACUGUCCGGCUUGAGUGCAGGAGAGGAAAGUGGAAUUCCUAGUGUAGCGGUGAAAUGCGUAGAGAUUAGGAAGAACACCAGUGGCGAAGGCGACUUUCUGGACUGUAACUGACGCUGAGGCACGAAAGCGUGGGGAGCGAACAGGAUUAGAUACCCUGGUAGUCCACGCCGUAAACGAUGGAUACUAGGUUGUUAGGGGGGUAUCGACCCCCCCCUGUGCCGGAGUUAACGCAAUAAGUAUCCCGCCUGGGGAGUACGGCCGCAAGGUUGAAACUCAAAGGAAUUGACGGGGGCCCGCACAAGCAGCGGAGCAUGUGGUUUAAUUCGAAGCAACGCGAAGAACCUUACCAGGGCUUGACAUCCCUCCGACGGGCAUAGAGAUAUGCCGUUUCAGCAAUGGACGGGGGAGACAGGUGGUGCAUGUGUCGUCAGCUCGUGUCGUGAGAUGUUGGGUUAAGUUCCCGCAACGAGCGCAACCCUUAUCAACAGUUACCAGCAAGUAAAGUUGGGGACUCUGAAGAGACUGCCGGGGAGAACUCGGAGGAAGGUGGGGAAUGAACCGUCCAAUCAUCAUGCCCCUUAUGUCCUGGGCUACACACGUGCUACAAUGGCCUGAAACAAAGGGAAGCGAAGGCGCAAGCCGGAGCGGAACCCAGAAAGCAGGUCUCAGUUCGGAUUGUGGGCUGCAACCCGCCCACAUGAAGUCGGAGUUGCUAGUAAUCGCGAAUCAGCAUGUCGCGGUGAGUGCGUUCCCGGGCCUUGUACACACCGCCCGUCACAC